rnacentral:rRNA from 1 species
UACGUAGGGCGCGAGCGUUGUCCGGAAUCAUUGGGCGUAAAGAGCUCGUAGGCGGCCUGUCGCGUCUGCUGUGAAAUCCCGGGGCUUAACCCCGGGCGUGCAGUGGAUACGGGCUGGCUGGAGGCAGGCAGGGGAGAACGGAAUUCCCGGUGUAGCGGUGAAAUGCGCAGAUAUCGGGAGGAACACCGGUGGCGAAGGCGGUUCUCUGGGCCUGUACUGACGCUGAGGAGCGAAAGCGUGGGGAGCGAACAGG